UACGUAGGGGGCGAGCGUUGUCCGGAAUCAUUGGGCGUAAAGCGCACGUAGGCGGUCCGUUAAGUCGGAUGUGAAAUCUCUGGGCUCAACCCAGAAACUGCAUCCGAUACUGGCGGACUUGAGGAAGGUAGAGGAGAGUGGAAUUCCCGGUGUAGCGGUGGAAUGCGCAGAUAUCGGGAGGAACACCAGUUGCGAAGGCGGCUCUCUGGGCCUUUCCUGACGCUGAGGUGCGAAAGCGUGGGUAGCCAACAGG
rnacentral:ncRNA from 2 species